rnacentral:lncRNA from 1 species
GAAAACUGAGAGCAUUCAUUGAUUUGCUUAGUCAGAUGUUGGUUGAGCACCUACUAUUUGUUAAGCUUUAGGGUUUCAAAGAUGCAUCUUGGACUGGGGCUGUAGCUUGGUGGUAGAGUGCUUGCCUAGCAUGUAAGACUCUGGGUUUUAUGCUCAGACUGCACCUCUUCUGGAGGUAGGGGUGGGAGAGAGUAAAUUCUGGGAAAAGCACUCUUUCAUCUUCCACUUCCUGAAUUUACCUUUUCCUGGGCUUACCUUUUCAGCCUUGCUACUUCCUCUUGAAAAAUUUUUCCUUGAUUAUAUCCUUAUAUCCUCCGCCAUUGCCUGUUGAGCCUCAUGAAUUGCAUAGAUUGUGUCAGAUAUGUAAUUAAUCUCCCAGAGACAGGAAUUGGACCUUUAUCUGUACUCAUAUCAUGGCUAAUCAUCAGCCAAAAUUACUGGUGGCUCAUCGAGAUUUCUAAAUUCUUUAUCCUCAGUCAUCUAGUCUUACAACUGAGUUUCUUUACAAGGACAUGUGAGACCUAAUGAAAUUCUCCACCUCCAACACUGCAGAACAGGUCGCGUUUUCUUCCUCAAACAUGGCGAACCUGGAGGGAGCUGACUCCCAGGGAGGAGGAGACGGUGAGCCCAGGGGAGGAGACUGUGGAGGCCCUGCUGGGACUGGUGCGUAGUCCCCACUCACCCUGGGCUCUGGUGGAGGACUCCAGUGCUGAGGACCAUUUUCUGAGAGAAUUGGCCAUCCAGAAUCCACUGAUGCUCAAAGACACCUUCUUGUACUCCUAUUUCCGGUCGCUGAGGAUGGUGGACAAGCAGGUGGGUGCUGCAAAUGAGCACCAGAUUGUAGGGGGAUCUCCUGUGAGAGCUGAUCCCAAGGUCAGCCCUGACUUCUCAUUGAGCUCACCAGCUUGUACAACAAACAGGCCGGUAUUCAGCCAUGCUUUGUUGAAAGUCUUCCUCCUUCACCCUUGGAGGGAGUCCAUGUGCCUCUUCUACAGCCAAUUCUUAGCAUGCCCUGCACUCGGCCCUCCUGGGUCCUAGUAAAGACCUUUCAAAGGACCCAUAUUGCUUUGGUUUGGUUUGGUUUGGUUCUAGGAAUUGAACCCAGAGGGCUGAGCCACAUCCCCAGCCCUUUUUACUUUUUACCUUUAGACAGGGUCUUGCUAACUUGCUUAGGGCCUUGCUAAAUUGCUGAGGCUGGCUUUGAACUCCUGAUCCUCCUGCCUCAGCCUCCCAAGUUGCUGGGAUUACAGGUGUUGUAUGCCACUGUGCCUGGGCCAUAUAUAUAUAUUUUUUACUUUAUUUAAACUGUGGGGGGCUGGGAUGUAGCUCAGUGGCAAAGUGUCUGCCUUGUAUUUGCAAAGCCCUGGGUUCAACCUCCAGUUCCAAAAAAGCCAAAAAAAAAAAAAUAAUAAAACCCACCAUAAAUAAAUAAAUAAAACCCUUUAAACUGUGGGAAUCGGGUUGGGGGUGGGGCUGGAGAACAUUGGCAUAGUGUUGACUUAUUUUAUUUCUGUUACUAAAAAAAU